CAACAACCAAUGACUUUAAUACCCCUUUCAUUUACUCCAUCUCCCAUCUCCUAUAGACAAACAACCUCAAUUCUCCACCCACUCCAAAUUCCACAAAUCAGAUCGGCGGUGAAAAUUUUGAAACUCCAAUUCAAAAAUUUUGGUUGAUUCCAAUUGAACCGGCAAAAUCGAACACUGAGGACCCAUGGCUGACCAAGAUGCGAUUCAAAAGGUAAUGUUUUUCAAACCCUGCAACAGAAGAUUAUAUUGCGAUUCGUGUACCCCUGUGAUUUUGUAAAUAAGUUUCAGAAUUUUCCCCCGUCGAGCACCCUCGCCUUUUUUGUUGGUUCCUAAUGACCGACUGCAAAAUUUAAUAUGUGUUUGGAGUGUGUUUAUUUGUAUUUUUUUUCAUCUGAUUGAAUAGAUUUGAUACUGUAUACAUGGUUGUAUCUUGUGUUUGGA